CCGACCUUAGCUCAGUUGGAAGAGCGCGAGACUGUAAUUGGUAAACGGAUUAUGUCAUCUUGAGGUCGCCUGUUCGAGCCAGGCAGGUCGGA